GAUUAAGCCAUGCAUGUGUAAGUAUAAAUAAUUUUACUUUGAAACUGCGAAUGGCUCAUUAUAUCAGUUAUAGUUUAUUAGAAAUACUUUACUACUUGGAUAACCGUAGUAAUUCUAGGGCUAAUACAUGAAUAAAUCCUCAACUUCGGAAGAGGUGUGUUUAUUAGUAUGAAAACCAUAUAUCUUCGGAUAUAAUAGUGAGUAAUAAUAACCUUUCAUAUCGUAUGUCGUAAGAUAACGAUAGUUCUUUCAAGUUUCUGCCCUAUCAGCUUUCGAUGGUAGUAUAUGGGACUACCAUG
rnacentral:rRNA from 1 species